GACGAACGCUGGCGGCGUGCUUAACACAUGCAAGUCGAACGGAAAGGCCCUGCUUUUGUGGGGUGCUCGAGUGGCGAACGGGUGAGUAACACGUGAGUAACCUGCCCUUGACUUUGGGAUAACUUCAGGAAACUGGGGCUAAUACCGGAUAGGAGCUCCUGCUGCAUGGUGGGGGUUGGAAAGUUUCGGCGGUUGGGGAUGGACUCGCGGCUUAUCAGCUUGUUGGUGGGGUAGUGGCUUACCAAGGCUUUGACGGGUAGCCGGCCUGAGAGGGUGACCGGCCACAAUGGGACUGAGGUACGGCGCAGACUCCUACGGGAGGCAGCAGUGGGGAAUAUUGCACAAUGGGCGGAAGCCUGAUGCAGCAACGCUGCGUGCGGGAUGACGGCCUUCGGGUUGUAAACCGCUUUCGCCUGUGACGAAGCGUGAGUGACGGUAAUGGGUAAAGAAGCACCGGCUAACUACGUG
rnacentral:rRNA from 1 species